AGAGCGAACGCUGGCGGCAGGCUUAACACAUGCAAGUCGAGCGGGCGUAGCAAUACGUCAGCGGCAGACGGGUGAGUAACGCGUGGGAACGUACCUUUUGGUUCGGAACAACCCAGGGAAACUUGGGCUAAUACCGGAUAAGCCCUUACGGGGAAAGAUUUAUCGCCGAAAGAUCGGCCAGCGUCUGAUUAGCUAGUUGGUGAGGUAAUGGCUCACCAAGGCGACGAUCAGUAGCUGGUCUGAGAGGAUGAUCAGCCACAUUGGGACUGAGACACGGCCCAAACUCCUACGGGAGGCAGCAGUGGGGAAUAUUGGACAAUGGGCGCAAGCCUGAUCCAGCCAUGCCGCGUGAGUGAUGAAGGCCCUAGGGUUGUAAAGCUCUUUUGUGCGGGAAGAUAAUGACGGUACCGCAAGAAUAAGCCCGGCUAACUUCGUGCCAGCAGCCGC
rnacentral:rRNA from 1 species